CCCUUCGUGCUGAAGAUCGGUUGGUCUUUACCCUGGACAACUCAUGCUUUGACCUAAAAGUAGAGACUUUCCGUGAUGGUGAAAGGAUUCUUCCUUUACCUUCUGUUGCUUUUGAAAACCUCAGUAAUGCAAGGUAUGAACUAGUUUGCUCUGCUGUGAUGCCCCGUGGAUUGGAGUUCAACUACCACAACAAUCGCUUGCUUGUACACUCACUCUUCCGGACGUCAAGCUGUGUACGUUGCACUCCGUUCGUCCAUGUAAUGACUGCCACAAAUACUAUGAAGUUCACCAUGAAAAUCCCAAAGUUUGUUGUGUCUAGCUUGAGGAGGUUUGUUGACAUACCAACUAGUGCUGGAAUCUCUCUGGAAGCUUACCUGGGAGAUACGCAUGUUAUCAUGCCAUCAUCUUUCAAGCUGUGCAAGCAAGAUGGGAGGAUGGUGAUUGAGAAGACCAGUUUCAGCGAGUUCAUCUCAGUCACUGAAUAUGAGAAAGACAAUGUUGUGCUCAUCACUUUUGACGAGUCAACUUAUGAUCGUUCAGUCUCAAUUGUGUUCCAGCGCCUUCUGUAGGUGGAAGCAAUGGCCAUGCAGUUUAGUUUGGGAAAGUAGUCGCCAUAGAGCGUCCUUUUAUAUUCGUAGGAUGGAACUUAUGGUGGCUUAUGUGUUGGCAUUUUUUUGCCUUUUGGGUUGAAAGCAGUUAAGACAUUAAGUUUCGUGUAGUUAAGUUGAAGACUGAAAAGUUUCGAUUGUUAGUAUGUAGUUAAGUCGAGGACUGAAGGAAAGAUUGGUUAUCGUUUAUGCUGUUUCUAAUUUGUCUUUUAAUUAAGUUGUUAUCAGUCUUUUUCCAUUUGUGUUUAUGUUAUAAUGCUUGUGUAUCUUUUGCUGUAAUGUUUUAUAUUUGAGAUUUUUGAAUUUUUCUAUAUCUUUGUAGUUGUGUUGUGAGUUUGAAUUUUCAUUUUCCAGCCUGGGUGAUCAACAAUUUCUUUGAUUGAUCUUUUCAUUUCAUAGAUCAUAUCAAUUGUUGAUUCAAAGUCACCCGAUAAAAUUAUUUUUUUUCCUUUUUUAUUUAUGAAAUGAAUUUUUUCCUAUGCUGAAACUUCUUUAAUAUGAUUGAUUUUUCCCUUGUGAAUCAUAGUGAAACUUCUUUUUGGUGUCUUAUUGAUUUUAUUAACAAGUCUCGCUUAAUUUUUUUUUCAACAUUUUUUUGUAAGUUUAUUAAUUAUUUUUAAAAAAUUUAAUGUGUGUUGAGCAUUUUAGCAUCCGAGUUUUGGUUUUAAAAGUGUUUUAAUUUUUUUCCCAAAAUGAAUCUAUUUUCGUUCAUAACUUCAUAACUUUUCAAUUUUUUUCUGUAAUUUAAUUAUGUGCAUCUUUUAUAAGCAAUACUGCAUUUUAUUUAUGGAUUUUGUGAUAAUAAUUAGUGCUGUGAGAUUCCUGUAUUUUUUCUAUGUUAAUAUCGAUAGCCAAAGAGUCCCGUUGAAUCAGUUUUGAAAGCAGGCCGUUCGUUCACUGCUUUGAGAUUCGUGUUAAGUUUCUUGUUUUCUUAGUGUGCACGUUUGGCCCAUUUCGCGACUGUUUUUAGCUUCAUGACUGGCGUCUUGCACGACUGGUGACGUCAGCGCUAUUUCAAAAUCACCAGCACGUCCCCUUUCUGCGGGGGUGCUCGUCUCCUCGGCCGCGUUCUCCUCUCCUCUCCUUCGUCUCCGGCGAUGCUACCACCGUUCCUGCGUCGUUGCUCCGGGAAAUUGGUGCUCUGCUCGCAACAUCCGAGAGCGCGCCUCCUUCUGCAUCUAUCUCAGAAAAUGGCUAGCGACACCAAUGAUUUGGAAGACAGCGAAGUGAUGUACCGUGACGAUGAUUUAGAUGAAACUUUUGCUUCGCAAAGCCAGUUUGAAGGACAGACACACUCACUCAACGUUGGUGGUGGUGACCCGCAGUUUGAUGUCAAGAAUUUUCUGAACAAUCUGCGGAACUUGUUCUACUCAUCAAAUGAGAAUGCCAAUUAUUCUAAGAAUCCGUGUUUUGUUGGUCAGCGUGCCCCACUUCCUCCGAAGAAGGCAACGAGCAGGUGCAAUCAUGGGUAUUUUAGUGACCUGCUGAAGAAAAUUCCACCAUCAAGAUUAGAUGUCAUUAAAAAUUAUGGUUGCUCUUUUAUUCUUGAUUUUGACUGCAAUUUUGUUCCAAGAGGGUUUGCACAAUGGAUAGCAGGGAAAGUAAAUCCACCUACUGGUGACAUAGUUCUCGAUAACAAAGUCAUUCCAAUGAGCCCCGAAUCCUUUCAUCUUCUGCUUGGUCUUCCAUUAGGUGGCACAUCAGUUUUAUUUGACAGUGAGGUGACCAAAGCAGCAUUCCUCAACAUUAUUGGUGAACCUACACUUCCUUCUAUCAAGUGGUUUGGUUUGAGAGUGCUGAAGCCUGAUAUAUCUGAUAUUGAUUUUUUGAGGUGUUUCCUUCUAGUUGCAUUUGCAACUGUUUUGUGCCCCAACUCAAAUAUCUAUCCCAGCACAAAAUAUCUAGGGAUUCUAAUUGAUCCAACUCGAGUUACCAACUAUGACUUGUCAAAAUUUGUUUUCGAUUGGCUUAUGUAAUACAUAAGGAAAUAUCAAAAAUAGCCAAAGAAACCUACAAAAGAGGAUGGACUAACAACACUUGGUGGCUGCAUUUACGGGCUUUGUUGCUAUUACUUAGAUUUUCUGGAUUUUGGGUUACGCCGAGUGCCUCCUGGGAUUCCAAGAGUAAAGGCCUGGAAAAAUUCGUUAGUCAAAGAGUUUGCAAAUUUGGAUUGCAAAGGUCCAAGGGAAUAUGGCCUACGUCCUGUGAAGUUGAUAUCUCAAACUGUCUAUUCCAUGGGUUGCGUUGGUUGUUGCCAUUUACAUGAAGAUUCUUCUCAUGAAUCUGUUAAGUUUAGAUCUGCGCUUGAUAAAACUGUUGGCGGUUUACUACCUUCCUCGGUGAAAGACCAAUUAUCUUUGAUAGCUAGGCGUUUUUGUGAUACUGUUGAUGAAAAGUCUAUCGAAGGAGCUCAGAAUAUGCUGCUAGAUUCUCUGAAUUGCAUUGUUCUAGCUAGCGGUUCAGAUGAUGAACCAAAUCAAUCUGACACGAAUUCAAGAAGAAAUACAAGCAAUAGUAUGGCAAGUAGUGAUAAAUCAGUGCUUAGGAGUCAUGGAUGCAAUGAUCAUUCUUCCAAUAUCAAUGUAUCUCCACCUGUUCAACAUUCUCCAAAUGUUACCAAUGCAAAUGUGGAUUUGCAUGAUACUGCAGGUACACAUUCAGGGAGUAAAAGGAAAAGUGCAUCUCCAGUUAAUGUAGUAGACAGUUCCUUUGUUAAUACAAGACCUCAUAAACUACAAAGGCCUGACAAAGUUCUAGUUGCGAGUUGUAAAUAGAAUUGUACUUUCAGUUAUUUAUGGCAUUUGAGGAAUGCAAGUUUAGUGUAGAUGUUUUAUGUAAUUCUUAAAUUCUCCAGUUAGUGAGGUGUUCUGCCCCUGCUUGUAGUUUGACAACUAGUAGUACAACGAGUCGAAGUUUAUACUUAUGCAUACUAACUUCUUCUGCAUCUUUUUAUUUUCAACUGUGUGCAUUUUAGCUUUUGCUGUUUACAUAUGGUAUGCUGAGCCAUAUAUUCCUUCUUUUAUGUCCGUUCUUAAUGUCAAUGCCAUGAGUAGACUCUAACUUCAGUAGAGUAUUGCUCUUGUUUAAUGUUUGCAAGUUUACUAUGAUUCAUGUGCUUUUUGAGUAAUUUUGAUCAUGAAUGUUCAUUCAGAGUAUCGUUAAUAAUAUUAUAAAAGUAACAGUUAAUAAUAUUAUACCUGAAACUAGUGUAUAAAUUUCUACAUUUGUUUAAGCUUAGUAUUUGAUUGAGUAUUUGAUUGUUAUGUAGAGCAGUUUGCAUUUUUCAAACUAUUAUUUGUUUUAUUGGUUUAAUGAAUUUUUGCGAUCUGUUGAAGUGUCCGCAAGUCUAGUAUGAUGAGUAUACAAGUUAUAUUUUUGUGAAAUUUCUAGUUUUUGUGGCUUUACUUCUUGUUUUCCUCCAUGAACUUCAUUAGUAUACCUCCAGUAAUACCAAAAUAUGUAUAUAAAUAAAACUAAUAUCACUAUUGCUGUUGUAAAAUGUCUGCAACUUUAGUAUGAUGAUAGUGGAAUUUUAGUAUUCCAAGCAUGCAAGUUUAUUAUGGUAUUUUCAAGCAUACAAAUUUUAUGUAUUAGUUUUUGUUUUGUGUACUUGUAAUUGUGAAUUUACUUAGCUUUUUUUGUAAUGAAGUGAAAUGCCUUUUUAGCAUUCAGGUUUAGUUUUGGAUUCUAUAUAUCAAACUUUAUUAGUUUCAUUUUUUAUGCAAGGUGCUUUUUCUGGGUCAUAAUCUUUUUGUAAUUUUCUGCCUGUGACAAGUUAUUUUUUCUGCAUUAGGAGGAAGGAAGAAAGCUUGAUUUCAGUCAAGUUGAGAAGCAACUCGAGUCUGUUCCUGAACUAAUGAAGAAACUAAUUCGACCAAAGUCUACCACAAUCACCGAAUCGAUUGACAAGGAAAAAAGCAUGAGUUUCAAGCAUUUCGCGAAUACAGAUCCUCCAGUUUGAACUAAUCCAAAAGUUCGUUAUACGCAGACCACACUGAACAAGGUCAUGAGUGUUACGAAGAAAUAAUUUUUCCCUGAGAAGCUAAGGUUGAAAUCUACAAUGAAUGGUGAAAAAUCAUUGAACAAUCAAAUCAUGGCACCAAGCCAAGGUCAUUUUCAACUGCGUGAUGAGAAGUCUGAUGGCACUCCAAGGCCAUGGGCAAAUGCAAAUUCUCCAAAUCGCACUGAUUUUCUAGGUGAAACUUCACAGCCUGGUGGUCCUGUCACUAAGAUUGAUUUAGAUUCUCGUGGACUGUCUAGCCCUGGGAAGUCCCCUGAUGUUGAGAUAUUAUAUGAAGUCAAGAAAGACGACAGAUUGAACAACUUCAUAGCUACUUCUGAUGUGAUUUAUAAUGACAAAAUCAACAGUCAUUCUGCUAGUAAAUCUGGAAGAGAGCUCAGUAGGUAUGGACCAAAGAGGAUUCUUAACCCUAGCAAAUAUAAUGCUUCUCCUUAUGUCAACCAGAAAUCAUCGAGAUACCCUGUUACAACAAGAAUGAUUCAAUUACAUGAUGCUAUUGUCACUUUGUCUCUUGAUGAAGAUUACAAAUACAAAACAUGCAUAGACUAUGGCAAAGUUACAGUGACAUACUUUUCCGUUGGUACUUCUUUUGCAACUAAUGGCCUUGUUGACACGUAUACUAUAAAUGCUUGGUGUCACAAAUUGUCUCUAGAUAAUAGGCCAAAGGAGUCUAAAGUUCACCAUUUUUUCACCUUAUCUCUGAACAUCUACUAUUGAUGGACUCAUAUGAAACUCAGGAAUUGUAUGAACAGAAGUCCAGUAUGGUUCAGAGAUGUUUUCAGCUAGCUAACGGUGCAAGGCUAAUCCAUACUUGCGAUGAGGUUCACUUGCCAACUUUGCAUAGAAAGCAUUGGUUCGAUUUUGUUGUCUUGUUUAAACAUGAAAUGUUUGUAAUUCUAGACUCAGCAUUUGAUGGAGAGAGUGAUUUUCACCAGCAUGUGUUCAAUAUUCUGAUACCAAAUUUCAAAAGGGUUUGGGACAUGUAUGGGAGCUCAAGAAAUCUUAACUGGAGAAAUUGGACCAUGCACUUUAUUGAUGUACCUAAACAAAGCAAUGAGCUUGAUUGUGGCAUAUAUACAACACUCUUUCUGAAGCAUUGGAAGCCCAGGAUAUUGAUGCAUGAUAUAGUGAAGGAUGAAGAUAUCGCAAACAUCCGAAUAAGAAUGGCGAAUGAAAUGAUGUUCACUGACCAUAAUAUCAAAAAUGACCAUAAAAAGUUGGUUCUUGAGUUCUAGUCAUGCUGUUGAAACUGAGGUUGGUAAUGGAGAAGAAGCAGCUGUGGUGGAGUUUGCUUUUAGGUAGCAACAGAAAUGGUGCUGGAAGAUACAUAGGCUUUUUUUGCUUGUAGCUUCGGACAUGUAUUAAAGAAGAUAAAUUCUUAGGAAUAUUUUGAAAUGUAAUGUGCGAUGUACAAGUGAAUUUUUCUGUUGACACUUACUGUAAUGUGCAAUGCUUUUGAUAUGUUUGCAUGUCAACCGUGGGUGUUUUGUAUGUUGUAAGAUGUUUGGAUGUAAAUUUGAAUUUUGAAUAUUGUAAAAUGAGUUCUUUUUCAUGGCGUAAUAAUUUCCAUCCUAUCUAUUCUUUUUCCAAAUUUUAAUGGAUCAUGUUAUGUUGUUUGGUUUUCAUAUUGAACAAGCAACAGUAACUAUGUUCUGAUCCUACAUACACAUUCUUUUCUCUUGUUUCAAAUUUUUCUUUUUUUGUUUUAUUCUUCAUUUAUUUUUUGCUUCUUUCCCCAGUUAUUCCCUUUUUGAACAAACAACUUUUUUUCAUUUACCUUUAGUUCUUUUUUUCUUUGCGUCAAGAAAUUGUUGCCAUGUGUGUUUCAUACUAGUUGACACGUUGACACUUCACACCUCAACACCUCAUUAGUUCUAGAUUUUGUUUUGUUUCCAGACUGAUCUUUUUCUUUCCCUUUUUUUUUCUGAAAUGCCAUUUGUGUUGCAUGCAACAUAACCACCUCAACUGCCCAUUAAGGCCACUACUACCACGUUCACCAAAUAACCGACUAGCAACCCCACCCUCUACCGCACUACCCCCAUUACCACUAUCCCUCUACCGGACUACCCCCAUUACCCCUAUAUAAAUGCCAUCUGUAUGCUCUUGUGUUUUGCCUCUCUUCGAAAUCACUUCCCUUCCUCUCAGGAUACAUUCUUUUGCGCUUUGAAGAGUUGUAGGUUCAAGGUACUGAAGUGGGUUGAAGCUUGAAAGAGAAAAAGAUGGGUCAAGAGGAUGCUUCCAAAAAAGAUAGGGGUGCUUGUAAGAAGGUUGCUGAUGCCAGUAAGGAAAAGGUCACGGUGCCAGGUGGAUCACAUGUCUCCAAGCGCAAUUUUGAAGCUAAGGAUUCUUCGAGUUCCAAAAAGAUGGUUCCCACAAAGGAUUUCAGUCGCAACACAAUGAAGAUUUCAGCUGUCACAAGAGCUCAGCUGAAUAUUCCUUUUGGAGACACUGACAGAGUAGUGUACUGCAUAGUAACUAGAAACACUCAUUCUGCUGCUUUCUGCGUUGGACAUGCACUUUUUGACAUGUUGGGUCAUAGGAAUUUUACUAUUGCCGACCACUACAUUAAGGAUACAGUGCUAGUUGCUUUCAAGGAUUAUUUCGACGUGCUGAUUGCAGCUGGAAAUGACAUUCGGUGUGGUCCUGAAGCUCUGAUGACUAUUCGUCGAGUUUCUAGGAUUGAGCAGUGCAUUCCUGAUUGGGAUAGCUACUUCCAAAGGAACAUCAUCAUUGCACCUGAAGCAACCCAAGAUGAAGAUGUAGAUAAUGAAGAGGAUGAAGUUGUUUUUCCCAAGGGUGAUUAUGAUUCCUUUGGUGGUGGUUUCUCUGGUGGAUCAGGAGGGGAUGGUGAUGCUGGAGGUGGUGUUGGCGCAAGCGUUGCUGCUGCAUGAAUGCUCAUUAAAGUGGAAUGAAUGGUGGAUGCAUCUAGUGUUACUUUUAGUUGAUGAAUCGUGCAUCCUGUCUGCAAUUUUAGUUUAAUAUAGUUAAUUUAGGUUGCUUUUGUGUUUCAUCUUUGUGGUUUGGUUUCAUUUAGUCAUCCUUCUAUAUAGGUGUAUCAUCAAAUUUCAAGGAUUUCCUUUGUGAUAUCACUAAUGUACUGUUUAUAUUAUUAAUUACUAGUUAUGUUUCCUGUACUAUAUUUUGAUUUCAUAUACCAUUUUAUACUCAUUAUAAUUCUUCAUUUUUCUGUCAUCCUCAGUCAAGUAAAAUACAUGUCCAUCAUUUCAUACAAAAAUUAUGCAAAGUUUUGUGCAAUUUUAACAAAAACUCCUAUUGUUGAUCUUCUUUUCACCCAUAUCCUUUUUUUUUGCUUUAGCAUUGCUGUUCUUCAGACAGUGACCAUCCCUUCUUCUUCCACGUUGCAUGAAUAAUGAUUACUCCUUGCCUUUUUUUCAUAAACAAAAAAAGAGAAUGCAAUCAGUACAAAUGAAUAUAUAUUUUUCUUACCAGGAUAAGUUUGUGAAAUGAAAUUUCUUGCAGAUAUUUUUUCUAACAUUUUCCCUCUCUUUUUUCGUGCUCUCCUCUUUUAGUUUGCUUUGCAUGCUUUCUUUUGGCUGAACAUAGAAAUGUACAGAUUCAAAAUAAAAACUAAAUUGUAUCUGUAAAUUGCAGUAACAAUUUGAAACAAUGAUCGUUCUUUUACCUGUCUUUGUAGGUUUUUGUGGUGACUCUUGUUCUAUUUGCUUGCAACCUGUAAUAUUGUGUCCUUGCUUCUGGCACCCCGAACAUGUCACCUUAGGCUUUGAUAUGAUUUCAUCUACUAUACUUUUCCGCCUCCAUGUUUUCUUGAUUCUUCCUUUUGGUUUGAUGUAUACUGGAUCGUUUAGUUUUUUCUCCCCCUUGCUAUCUGAAGUCAAUAUUUCUCCUGUGAUAGCUGUUAAAUCUGAAGCAGAACAUUUUGGUCGCUCCAUUUCUGGCAUGCAAGGAUUUUUUGAUGCCUCAGAAGCUAGUUGAACUAGCCUUCUUGAAAAUAAGAAGAAUGCCAUUUGCUCGUCCAAAUCCUCAAGGUUUGCAUUUUCUUCAUUACCUUGAAAUACUCUCUUUUCCUUAGGUCUCCAUCUAUCAAUGAAAAACUUUUGUGGCAACUCAUCUACGUUCAAUGCUUGAAUGACUUUGAGUGCAUGACAACACAGAAUGCCAUCCUUCUCAAAUUUCCCACACACAUAUGAAAUAGUUUCUGACUCUGUGUCAACAAUCACUGUGAAUGUUCUCGGGUUAUAGUCAAGGAGUGCUUGAGUUGGUGAUUUGUACACCUCAUAUUGUUUGUUCUUUUCCACUUCCAUCAUGUGAAAUUUUGUUGAAUUCAUCAACUAUUGCUGAAAUUUGUAGAAUAUGCCUCUGUUAUAUAGUUCUGCAGCUUGUUUUUCCAAUGCCCAGUCACUCCACAUAGUUGGAGAUGUUCUCCUUGUUACUGAAUCAUUUUCUUUUCUUUUUUCUUCAAUACUUUGUGAUAUCCUGUCAAACUCUGUCAUGAAAGCAAUCACACUGUGACUUGACCCUACAUUUGCUUUGAAUACAACAUUUGUUCCUUCACUUCUUGCUGUUGAUUGGAUGAAUGGGAAAAAGUCAUUCUUGAAGAACGCAGGUACAAAUCUCUUUCUGUUUUUCCACAUAAUUCCGAAGUACUCGAUAUGUUGAACUUUGUACUCCUCUGUCAUUUGUGGCCAGAGCUGCUCAAACUCCUCAACUGUUUGUGAGUUUAGGAUUAUGUCAUGAAAUUGAGCGUUCAAAUGCUGAUUCCUUGCAAAUGUUCUUCUUGCUUUGUUUUGCGCUUUUUUUAGAAUGUGAAACAAACAGUUCCUGUGCGUGCAAUUAGGGAAACACUUAGGCACUGCCUUUUUCAUUGCUACAUCUUGAUCUGUUAUACAGAUUUUGGAGCUUUCCCUCCCAUGCACUUCAGAAAAGUUUUGUAUAACCACUCAAAAGUUUCCUUCUUCUCAUCUUGUAUGAAACCACAUGCAAAGAGGCAGUUGUCUCCAUGUCCAUUUACACCCACAAAUGGAGCAAACUUCAGAUUGUACUUGUUUGUUUUGUAAGUUGUGUCAAAACUUAGGAAAUCACCAUAUUGCUGAUAGUUCCUUAUACCUGUACCAUCUGCCCAAAAUAUAUGCAUGACAUUCUUAGCUGGAUCUGUUUUGAAUGAGUAGUAAAACAGAGGAUCUUCUGAUUUUUUCUGUUCAAAGAAUGAGACAACUUGCAUCAUGUCAUUCAAGCCAUUAUCUAUUCUCAUUUUCGUGCCCAUGUUGCUAAUCUGUUUUGCUGUGUAUGGCAACGAAGAAAGCCCUCUUCCUCGAAAGAAUGCCAUUAUUGCCAUUAUUUUUCUUGUUGGUAUGUUCACUCGUUUGCAAGUUCUGGUUAAUUCCUUUUCUUGAUCAGUGAUGAAUUUGUGUGACCUGAGGAACCUGACUUCGCCUGGAGGAUGCAGAUCAUGGUUGUGCUCAAUGAUAAGCCUUGUCACCAUCCACUGUGAUAUAUCAAAUUUCCAGUUCUGAAUGAUGUUGUUCCUCAAGCAACUGAUUAGAUGAUAACAUAAUUUGUUCCAGUUAAAUUCAUGCUCACCAUCAGAUUCAGUCUCACUGCGAGUUGCUUCACCUUCAUUAUUACCAUCAUAAUCAUCUUCAUGCUCACCAUCAGAUUCACUCUCACUGACAUUUGCUUCUUCAUUGUUGUUACCAUCAUCGUCAUCUUCAUGCUCUUGGUCUAAAGUAGUUCAACAUACCUCAGAGCUUAUGCCAGCAGUCAAGAAUGAUGUGAAACUUGUUAUAGAACAAUGCAAAAAAUUCAACAAAAUGAAAUGAAAACUUGCAUACGAAAUGGAGUAUAUCACAUACCUUUGCCUGACCACAAGGACUUUUAUCACCAGAUCUGACAAAGAAACCCUGGGGAUUGGAGGAGAAGUAUGCUUAGAGGAACAAUUGUCUGGGAAACUUCAUCAGAAGUCUCAGAAGAAAGCAGAAUAUCUGAGGUAUGGUUCCCCUCCCAUGGCGGCUGUGUGGGAGUCGGGAGGAGGAAGACCUAGUGACGUGUUACUUAUUUAGCUUACCGGGUCCAGGCCCGUUUUCUUUUUCUGGGCUAAAUACAGAAAACAGGCAGAGAAAGGAUCUUUAGCUUACCGGGUCAGGCCCGGGACAGAAACAGAAAGGCCUCAGCUUGUUGUUUUCGGUUGGGCUAAACUGAAACAGAAACAGAAAGAAAAUCUGACUGACCUCUUUCUUCUGUCAGUCGAUUUUGUUCUGCUUUGCCGGUUUGAUCACAUUUGUACCAAUCGACUGACCUCUUUGUUGUGUCAGUCGAUUGAUCUAUAGCCAUUCCCGAGCCAGACUAGGUGUAGUUCUCGCUAGCUUUUGCGAAAGAUUUUUUUUCUUUUGUAGGAAAGCUUUUGCCAUACUUUGAACCCUACUAGUAAUAACAAUACUAAAGCUAUGAACGUUUGAAAUGAGAAUACGAUUUGCAACUACUUUUCUUUCC